GGAAGGAUCAUUAACACUCACAAAAGUGUUUACCAAAACACCAAAUUCAAUUAUUGAUUCAGAGCUCCGUUCAUUGUCCGGGUUCUCAGAGAGAACAUGCACAGAAAGCAAUUUUUUGUGUCUCUCUCUUUGGGCCUGUUGACCAACCCCCCCCCAUUUUUACACCCUUCUUCCUUAAUUGGAAAGCACAGCGGAAGCUUCAAAACUUUUCGCUCAACUUGAAAGAAUCCAACCUUCUUUUGCAAAAAAGAAAAAAUUGAAUUCCUCAGACAACUUUUGGCAGUGGAUAUCUUGGCUCUUGCAUCGAUGAAGAACGCAGCAAAAUGCGAUAACUAAUGUGAAUCGCAGAAUCCUGUGAAUCAUCAAAACUUUGAACGCACCUUGCAGUCAAGCCCUUUCGGGGGAUUGACUAUGUCUGUUUGAGAAUUGGUACUAUCUCUCAAAAGCAUUCGUGCUUUUGGAAGCUGAAGGUGACGAAAGAUGUAACAGUCCUUCUUCUCCUUUUAAUAGUUCCAUCACAAACUUCUCUCAUGCAUUUUCCAGCAGAAGAAGUCCCACAAUGCCUAUAUUACAAUAUAAGCAUUUUGUGGAUACCAUGACUGACGCUGCGCUAUAAAGGAAAUGCGCGAGUAAAGAAGAUGAUAAAAAAAUAUGGCAGAGCUUGCAAAAGCUCGCACCAUUAAUCUCAAAUCAGACAAGAGUACCCGCUGAACUUAAGCAUAUUAUUAAGCGGAGGAAAAGAAACUAACUAGGAUUCCCUCAGUAGCAGCGAGUGAACAGGGAAUAGCUCAAAGUUAAAAUCGGUGAGGGUUUACCCGAGCCGAGUUGUACUUUGGAGAGGCGGUCCUGGAUGGCGCCGGGUAUAAGUUUGUCUCAGAAUGCGGCAUCAAAGAGGGUGAAAAUCCCGUAUUUGACCCGGAAAGCCCAACCAACACGGAUCGUCAUCGAAGAGUCAGGCUGUUUGGGAUUGCAGCCCUAAGUGGGUGGUAAGAUUCAUCUAAGGCUAAAUAUUUGCAAGAGACCGAUAGCGAACAAGUACCGUGAGGGAAAGAUGAAAAGAACUUUGAAAAGAGAGUGAUAAUAGUCCUUGAAACUGCCAAAGGGACAAGCGUUAGGAACUGUUGUUGCGACCUGGAUCUGUUUUCCAAAGUGCACUGCUUGGGAACAAGGAGUCCUCAAAGACCCUUGCCCCAGGAUUUGAUGCACUUUGGAGGGCGUCUGAUCCAGGCUGCCGGUCAACCACACUUUUGUAUUCCGCUUCCUCUGAAGGCGGGGAGGAGUUAACUCCCUGCUGGAAAGGAAAGGCCUUGAGUGCGAUCCGCUGUCCCCUCCGGGGCCGGACUGGUGGAUACGAACGGUGCUUGGCAAGGUUUGGACUGUGGUAGACUCUGCCUAGCAGGAUCUACUCAGCUUCUGGGCUCUGCUGGGUGUCGCUCGCCCGCUGGAGGUUGACUCCCCCAUGGUUUCUAACGUCCCGUCUUGAAACACGGACCAAGGAGUCUAGCAUAUAUGCGAGUAUUCGGGUGGUAAACCCAUGAAUGCGCAAUGAAAGUGAAGGAGCCCGUUCGGGCUCUGAGGUAGGAAUCCCGCUCCUCGUGGGCGAGAGGCACUAUCGACCGAUCUGGAUGUUUUUUGAAGGAUUCGAGUUAGAGCAUAUCUGCUAGGACCCGAAAGACGGUGAACUAUGCCUGUAUAGGGUAAAGCCAGAGGAAACUCUGGUGGAAGCUCGUAGCGAUACUGACGUGCAAAUCGUUCGUCAAAUAUGGGUAUAGGGGCGAAAGACUAAUCGAACCGUCUAGUAGCUGGUUCCCUC
rnacentral:misc_RNA from 1 species